GACGAACGCUGGCGGCGCGCCUAACACAUGCAAGUCGAACGGAGCUGAGAGAAGCUUGCUUUUCUUAGCUUAGUGGCGAACGGGUGAGUAACGCGUGAGUAACCUGCCCUGGAGUGGGGGACAACAGUUGGAAACGACUGCUAAUACCGCAUAAGCCCACGAUCCGGCAUCGGAUUGAGGGAAAAGGAUUUAUUCGCUUCAGGAUGGACUCGCGUCCAAUUAGCUAGUUGGUGAGGUAACGGCCCACCAAGGCGACGAUUGGUAGCCGGACUGAGAGGUUGAACGGCCACAUUGGGACUGAGACACGGCCCAGACUCCUACGGGAGGCAGCAAUGGGGGAUAUUGCACAGUGGGGGAAACCCUGAUGCAGCGACGCCGCGUGGAGGAAGAAGGUUUUCGGAUUGUAAACUCCUGUCGUUAGGGACGAUAAUGACGGUACCUAACAAGAAAGCACCGGCUAACUACGUG
rnacentral:rRNA from 1 species